rnacentral:rRNA from 1 species
CAAGUCGAGCGAGAACCAUGCCUUCGGGCAUGGGGACAGCGGCGAACGGGUGAGUAACACGUGAGUAAUCCACCCUCGGUACCGGAAUAGCCCGGGGAAACCCGGAUUAAUGCCGGAUGGCCCAUUUGCUCAUCGGGGUAAAUGGAAAAGGUAGCUUCGGCCUCCGACCGGGGACGAGCUCGCGGCGGAUUAGCUUGUUGGCGGGGUAACGGCCCACCAAGGCGACGAUCCGUAGCUGGUCUGAGAGGACGAUCAGCCACACUGGGACUGAGACACGGCCCAGACUCCUACGGGAGGCAGCAGUGGGGAAUCUUGCGCAAUGGGCGAAAGCCUGACGCAGCGACGCCGCGUGAGGGAAGAAGGCCUUCGGGUUGUAACCUCUUUCAGGAGGGACGAAGCCACUCGGGUGAAUAGCCCAGAGGGUGACGGUACCUCCAGAAGAAGCCCCGGCUAACUACGUGCCAGCAGCCGCGGUAAUACGUAGGGGGCAAGCGUUGUCCGGAUUUAUUGGGCGUAAAGAGCGUGUAGGCGGCUUCACAGGUCCGCUGUGAAAACUCGAGGCUCAACCUCGAGCUGUCGGUGGAAACCGUGUGGCUAGAGUCCGGAAGAGGAGAGUGGAAUUCCCGGUGUAGCGGUGAAAUGCGCAGAUAUCGGGAAGAACACCCGUGGCGAAGGCGGCUCUCUGGGACGGUACUGACGCUGAGACGCGAAAGCGUGGGGAGCGAACAGGAUUAGAUACCCUGGUAGUCCACGCCGUAAACGAUGGGUGCUAGGUGUUGGGGGGUGUCGACUCCCUCCGUGCCGAAGCUAACGCAUUAAGCACCCCGCCUGGGGAGUACGGCCGCAAGGCUAAAACUCAAAGAAAUUGACGGGGGCCCGCACAAGCCGCGGAACAGGUGGUUUAUUCGACGCGACCCGAGAA